GUAGAGCUGUAUUCUGCUUUUCAACGAGUCCCUCGUUGCUUUCAAUUCGAUUUAAACCCCAGCCCUCCUCAGACUAAACAAACUGCAGGCUUCUCCAGGACCUGCUGUGGUUUUGGUCUUUUCUUAAUACUGCGACUUCGGCAGUCAUCGCCCAGGCGGCCCAUGGCAAGUGCAGGACGGGACACUGAAAUUACGACAUGUUUCAGAAGGUGCCGGGUGUGUAACAUAGAGCACUAACAAGCAUUGAUGUAUCAAAACAUGUAAAGGACCAUACUGCGCAGAAUCACCUGAGGAGGGUCAAGUAGCGGACAAGUGAGGAAGACUACGGAAGACCAGAGGACUCCUGAAGACCACCAGAGACCUUCAAUGCGCCUGCGUAAAGGACAUUUGCAUAUGCUAAUAGUUUCCCAGAAAACUAAUGAAUAUGUAUAACAUUUCUUGGAAAUCUAGUGAAUACAUAUGUAGAACAUGUACUUAAGCUGCACAAUUAGGCCUGACGGUGUGCACGAUAGGUGGAGCGAUCCCCUGUGCACCCAGCGCUGCCAUUAAAGAAUACCUACUUAAUAGUUAA